GACGAACGCUGGCGGCGCGCUUAACACAUGCAAGUCGAACGGAAAGGCCCUUCGGGGUACUCGAGUGGCGAACGGGUGAGUAACACGUGGGUGAUCUGCCCUGCACUUUGGGAUAAGCCUGGGAAACUGGGUCUAAUACCGAAUAUGAUCAUCGGCUUCAUGGUCGGUGGUGGAAAGCUUUUGCGGUGUGGGAUGGGCCCGCGGCCUAUCAGCUUGUUGGUGGGGUAAUGGCCUACCAAGGCGACGACGGGUAGCCGGCCUGAGAGGGUGACCGGCCACACUGGGACUGAGAUACGGCCCAGACUCCUACGGGAGGCAGCAGUGGGGAAUAUUGCACAAUGGGCGCAAGCCUGAUGCAGCGACGCCGCGUGAGGGAUGACGGCCUUCGGGUUGUAAACCUCUUUCAGCACAGACGAAGCGCAAGUGACGGUAUGUGCAGAAGAAGGACCGGCCAACUACGUG
rnacentral:rRNA from 1 species